rnacentral:rRNA from 1 species
AUUGAACGCUGGCGGCAUGCCUUACACAUGCAAGUCGAACGGCAGCACGGGAGCAAUCCUGGUGGCGAGUGGCGAACGGGUGAGUAAAGUAUCGGAACGUGCCCAGUCGUGGGGGAUAACGUAGCGAAAGUUACGCUAAUACCGCAUACGAUCUAUGGAUGAAAGCGGGGGAUCGCAAGACCUCGCGCGAUUGGAGCGGCCGAUAUCAGAUUAGGUAGUUGGUGGGGUAAAGGCUCACCAAGCCGACGAUCUGUAGCUGGUCUGAGAGGACGACCAGCAACACGGGGACUGGGACACGGCCCAGACUCCUACGGGAGGCAGCAGUGGGGAAUUUUGGACAAUGGGCGAAAGCCUGAUCCAGCCAUGCCGCGUGCAGGAUGAAGGCCUUCGGGUUGUAAACUGCUUUUGUACGGAACGAAAAGGUUUGGCCUAAUAAGCUGAGCUCAUGACGGUACCGUAAGAAUAAGCACCGGCUAACUACGUGCCAGCCGCCGCCGUAAGAC